UGGAUGGCCUCCUAAGGUCCCCAUUGCCGCCAGUGCACUAGAGAGUAUGAUGGACUGAAGCAACAGUGUAUCCCCGAAAAAGGGGUGGAGAAUUCUCUGCUUACAGUAGAGUUUUGCUAACCCAGGCUCCUGUUAGCUGGGAGAGUUUUGACUCUUCUUGUUUUUGAUGAUCUUCACACUUUUGAGACGCACUGGUCAGGUAUUCUGUGUGAUGUCCCAAAAUUUGGGUUUACUGGAUUUUUUUUCUUGUCAUUACAAAGAUAUUAUGUGUUUGGGGGAAGAUUAUAUAAAGGGUAUAAACUAUAAAUAUUGCAUAUCACUGUAGAUGUUAACUGUGGUCACCUUGCUGAAAAAGUGUUUGGGAGGAUUCUUCAUGAGGAAGUUACUCCUUCAUUUUUUUUUUCUCCAUUUCAUUGUGAACUCUUUGGAAUAAAGUCACUGUUAGCAUCA